AACGAACGCUGGCGGCAUGCCUAACACAUGCAAGUCGAACGAGACCUUCGGGUCUAGUGGCGCACGGGUGCGUAACGCGUGGGAACCUGCCCUUAGGUUCGGAAUAACUCCCCGAAAGGGGUGCUAAUACCGGAUAAUGUCUUCGGACCAAAGAUUUAUCGCCUCUGGAUGGGCCCGCGUUGGAUUAGCUAGUUGGUAGGGUAAAAGCCUACCAAGGCGACGAUCCAUAGCUGGUCUGAGAGGAUGAUCAGCCACACUGGGACUGAGACACGGCCCAGACUCCUACGGGAGGCAGCAGUGGGGAAUAGUGGACAAUGGGCGAAAGCCUGAUGCAGCAAUGCCGCGUGAGUGAUGAAGGCCUUAGGGUUGUAAAGCUCUUUUACCCGGGAUGAUAAUGACAGUACCGGGAGAAUAAGCUCCGGCUAACUCCGUG
rnacentral:rRNA from 1 species